rnacentral:lncRNA from 1 species
UUUUGCAUGUGUUUUAACAAUCCCCCACCCUCCAGAGCCCUAGGUCUAUAUCCGUAUGAAAUGCAUUGAUCGGUAACCUUAUGAGUUAGUGUUAUGAAAGCCAUUAAAAAGUAGACCUGGUUGAGUUAAUUAUUAGCACUUUGACCCCUAAAAAAUGUUCCUGGUUACAGAAAAGUCCUCCAUUCAGGCCUUUCUUGUAAGUGAAGAAAAAGGAAUGCAGCAAAGAAGCACAAGUCAAAAUUUUCAUUAAGAACUCAGUAGUCUUUCACAGAAGGGAAUCUGAGAAUUCUUCCACUCAUGAGUAAUGUGUUAAAGAAUGAGAAAAGAGCAUGUUUUCCUUGGCUUUUGGAUUAAUACAAUAAAGCCUGUGAAGUUUAACAUAAUUAAAUUAAUGUUGAUAUGCAGUGUGACUUGUUCACAGAGAAAUGGUAUUUGACUUAGAGCUAAUGCCACAUCACAGCUGACAUACAUCCAUCUGCAAAUGUUGUAUAGAAAGUCUUCUAAGAUCUUCAGACUGAUGUGUUUAUUUAUGAAAGAAGAAGAAGGAGCCUCUGGAUUUAAAGUCAAAUCCACACAUCUGGACAUUCUUGUGCAUCAACUCGAAUCAACUGGUGAAGGGGGACAAGUGGGUGUUGGAAAUCCACAACUAUUGAAGAGAGGACUGGAUGUUGGAUCAGGUUCUAAUUUUGUGUCAGGAGAUAAAGAGGGAGGCUCAGUUAUGUGAAGGUAUUCCUCACUUGAUGGUUUGAAAGUCGCUUCAAUAUUUACAUGAAUUUCCUUAAAAGAAUCCUGUGGGGACAUUACAGAUGAGCCGACGUCUAUUCCUGGCAGAGCACUGGGCUGGGGGAUCUCUGUGUGUCCAGAGGCUUCACUGCCUGAGUAGAUAGUGAGGGGAGAUGAUGAUGGAAGUUCUGUCAAGUAUGUUGGUGGCUCUAAAAAAAGUGGGGUGGAGAAAAGCAGAGAAAGAAGACACAAAGAAAAAACAAAACCUCCAGAAACCUACUAUGUGAAGCAUAUGGCCAAAGUAAGUAAACUAGCCUUGACUUGGGACAGUCCGUGAGAGAUGGGGGAAGCCAUUCUAAUUAUCUGCAGAAAAAUGUGCUUCUCUGACAGACAGCCACAGCUGGAGCUCAGGAAAAGGAACCACGGAGGUGUGCAGGCACCAGACCCAUCCACUUUCAGAGAUGUGCUCCAAAACUCUACAGGAAAGAAGCUGCCCAGAACUGCAGAAUAACGUACUACCAAUUUCAGCACACUCUUUCCUUGCUAUGUCAAAAAAAAGUGAUGACUCUGCAAUCAAUGAGGUGCACUCCUGAGCACUCUAAUGAGGAUAGCAUCAGUCUUCAGAAAAAUGAUACUCGAAAGGGAAUAUUCCAACGGUUCCCUGUCGAUGAGAGGUGGUUUCUUAGUGAUCGCGGAAGAUGGCUUGAAUGCUGAAGUUGUGUGAAGUCUGUCUACUGAACUGAAGGCAGUGUCAUCCAUGGAUGAUCCAUUAUUAUCAGGCAUAAUUAAAGGGGAAACAGUUGUGGAUGCUGAGACUGACUCCAAGUCUUCUAAAUGAGUGUGGAUGGUGUCUUCUGAAGUCUUUGACACCGUAAUGACUUCAGGAAUUUGGUCAAAGAUCAAGGUGCUCUCAUCAGAUCCAACGCAUAAUGAGAGACGCCAGUUGUACUCUGGAGCACUUCUUCCUUAAUUUCUGAUAUGUCUAGCUUUCCAAGAGGUCCUGAAGCAGAAGGUGCAUUCACAUGGAGAAGUUUUGGCUGGGCCUGAGAACAAAAGCCAGCAUUUUCUACAGUCUUUAUGGAGCGACCAGCUUGUGGCAAGCUAAUACAGAACACAUGGCUUUAACACUCAGAAAGUUGAGUCUAAGGGAGGAGAUCAGAGCAGAGGGCACAUUAAAUAAAGCUAACUCUGCUACAAAGCUUUGGAGAGAU